UUUUUCCUGUUUUAUAAUACUCUGCUCCCCCCAUCUCUCUCUCUUCCACGACGUGUGAGUUUAGCACUUAGCUCUUCUUCUUCUCUACGCCCAAAAAAAAAAUAGAGCUUCUAUGCAGACAAUUUCUUUGUAAUCUGCUAUACCCAUUUUCUCUGUUAAAGGAGCAGUAAGAAGUGAAAUUGGAGCUACACAGAAGCUAUUGGGAGGUCUUGUUAAGUGUUUGAUCCAAUGACGGUUGAUGCACCACCUGACUACUCACAUAGUUCAAGAACUAGUAGAUCUGGUUUUAGCUCCAGUAAUGGGAAUGCGACCCCCUCACAUAGCUAUUCCGCCAUGUCAAAUGAUGAUGACUACGAUAGCGAUGGUUCAAAUUUUGCACCUCCCACUCCAAUGACACUUUCAAUGGCAAUGCCAGCCGAACUGGCUAGUGCUAUACCUUUGAUUGAUAGGUUCCAGGUAGAGGGGUUUCUGAGGUCAAUGCAUAAGCAAAUUCAAUCAGCUGGGAAGCGUGGAUUUUUCUCUAAAAGAUCUGUGGGUCCUCAAGUUCGGGAAAAGUUCACGUUUGAAGACAUGCUUUGUUUUCAAAAGGAUCCUAUUCCUACCUCAUUGCUCAGGAUAAACAGUGAUCUGGUAAGCCGGGCCAUAAAAUUGUUCCAAGUGAUUUUGAAGUAUACAGGAGUGGAUGCAUCUGAUAAAGUAACCCCUAUGAGCUUAGACGAAAGGAUUGAGCUUGUUGAGAAACUGUUUAAGCACACUCUAAAGCGUUCAGAACUUCGUGAUGAACUCUAUGUACAGAUUUCAAAGCAAACACGCAAUACACCUGACAAGCAAUUCUUGAUUAAAGCAUGGGAGCUAAUGUAUUUAUGUGCAUCUUCCAUGCCUCCAAGCAAGGAGAUUGCUGGAUAUUUGUCGGAGCAUGUUCAUCAUGUGGCUCAUGGGGUGAAUAUUGAUAGCGAAGUUCAAGGGUUUGCUCUGAACACGUUAAAUGCAUUGAAGCGUUCUGUGAAGGCUGGAUCUAGGCAAACAAUGCCUGGUCGUGAGGAGAUUGAAGCACUUUUGAGUGGUAGGAAGCUAACUACGAUAGUGUUCUUCUUGGACGAAACUUUCGAAGAAAUCACAUACGACAUGUCAACAACUGUUGCCGAUGCAGUUGAGGAACUUGCGGGGAUUAUAAAACUCACCACAUAUUCCAGUUUCAGCCUUUUUGAGUGCCGUAAAGUUGUCAGUGGCUCUAAAUCAACUGAUCCCGGAAAUGAGGAAUACAUUGGGUUAGAUGACAACAAAUACAUCGGGGAUCUUUUAGCUGAAUUUAAGGCUGCCAAAGACCGAAGUAAAGGAGAUAUCUUACAUUGCAAGUUGACAUUUAAGAAGAAGUUGUUUCGGGAGUCAGACGAAUCUAUUGAAGAGCAAAUGUUUGUGCAGUUAUCGUAUGUUCAGUUGCAACAUGAUUAUAUGCUGGGUAAUUAUCCUGUUGGGAGGGAUGAUGCUGCACAUCUUUCUGCUUUGCAAAUUUUGGUUGAGAUAGGUUUCCUCGGCAGUCCUGAAUCAUGCACUGACUGGACAUCACUCCUUGAAAGGUUCUUACCUAGGCAAAUUGCAAUUACUCGAGCAAAGCGGGAUUGGGAGCAAGAUAUCCUUUCUCGUUAUCGUCUGAUGGAACAUUUAUCAAAAGAUGAUGCAAGACAACAAUUUCUUCGAAUUCUAAGAAUUCUUCCAUAUGGAAAUUCGGUAUUCUUUAGUGUUCGGAAGAUUGAUGAUCCCAUUGGAUUACUUCCAGGUCGUAUCACUUUAGGCAUCAAUAAGCGUGGGGUUCAUUUCUUCCGUCCGGUUCCAAAAGAAUAUUUGCAUUCUGCUGAAUUAAGAGACAUAAUGCAAUUCGGUAGCAGCAAUACUGCAGUUUUCUUUAAGAUGAGAGUUGCAGGGGUCCUACAUAUAUUCCAGUUUGAAACUAAGCAGGGAGAAGAGAUUUGUGUUGCCCUUCAAACACAUAUAAAUGAUGUAAUGCUGCGUCGAUACUCAAAGGCACGCUCUGCUGCCAACGGACCUGUCAAUGGAGAUAUCACCCAAAAGCCAAAAUCUCCUAGCAUGAGUGUUUAUGAGAAGCGUGCUCAGGAAUUGUCUAAAGCCGUUGAAGAAUCUCAAAGAAAUGCUGAUCAAUUAUCUGAUGAGUUGCAUGAAAAGCAAAAACAAGAAGUUGAAAUGCAAGAGGAACUAGAAAGGCUGAAAGACUCAUUGAGAUCUGAAAUGCAAAAUGUUGAAGAUGUUAAGUGUGAUCGUGAUAAACUAAGAUCACUAUGUGAAGAAAAAGAUUCAGCUCUACAGGCAGCUCUUAUGGAUAAGAGAAGCAUUGAGGCGAGACUGGUGAAUCUUAGUCAAGGGCGAUCUACGGUAGAGAAUAAUGCUAGGAAGGAUUUACAAGUACACAAUACUCAGCAGGCUGUUACUAAAUUACAAGAGGAGUUGAAAUCCGUUACCGGGGAGCUUCAUGCAGCUGAAGAAACUGCAAAAAGAUUGGCCAAUGAAAAACAAUUAUUGGAGCAAAGAAUAACAAGGCUUGACAAGAAGAAAUCUGACGAGAUGGAAAUUCUAGAGAGAAACUUUGAACAAGAACGGCGCACCCUCAGACAACGGGUGGCUGAACUUGAAAGAAAACUGGAACAAGUGACACAAGAAGUUGCUGUUGCAGAGUCUACUCUAGCAGUUAGAAAUUCAGAGCUAGAUACUUUGCAAACUAGUUUAAGAGAGCUAGAGGAACUAAGGGAAAUGAAGGAGGACAUUGACAGGAAAAAUGCUCAAACUGCUGCUAUUUUGAAGAGACAAGGGGCUCAGCUGCUAGAAUUUGAAACACUAUAUAAGGAAGAGCAAGUCUUACGGAAGCGUUAUUUCAAUACAAUCGAAGAUAUGAAAGGCAAGGUUAGAGUAUUUUGCCGGUUGCGCCCUCUUAGUGCCAAAGAAGUUUCUGAAGGGGAAAAGAAUGUUGUUGUAAGUUAUGACGAGUACACAAUCGAACAUCCUUGGAAAGACGAUAAAAUAAAGCAACAUUUGUAUGAUCGUGUUUUUGAUGGUCGUGCUUCUCAGGAGGAUGUUUUUGAAGAUACAAAGUACCUGGUGCAAUCAGCUGUGGAUGGAUUUAAUGUCUGCAUAUUUGCAUAUGGUCAAACUGGUUCAGGAAAGACUUUCACUAUUUAUGGGUCGGAGGACAACCCUGGGCUCACCCCAAGAGCAACUGCAGAAGUUUUCAAAAUCUUAAAGCGUGACAGUAAAAAAUAUUCAUUCUCGUUGAAAGCGUACAUGGUUGAGUUGUAUCAGGAUACAUUAGUAGAUCUUUUAUUGCCAAAGAAUGCAAAGCGUUUGAAGCUAGAAAUUAAAAAAGAUUCGAAGGGAAUGGUAUCUAUAGAGAAUGUAACGGUUCUACCCAUCUCGACCUACGAAGAAUUGAGAAACAUUACAUUGAGAGGUGCUGAACAACGUCAUACAUCAGGGACUCAGAUGAAUGAAGAAAGUUCAAGAUCUCAUUUGAUUCUUUCUGUUGUUAUUGAAACUACGAACUUGCAAACUCAGUCAAUUGCUCGAGGAAAGUUGAGUUUUGUGGAUCUUGCUGGCUCAGAAAGAGUUAAGAAAUCAGGCUCUGCUGGAAAUCAAUUAAAAGAAGCGCAAAGCAUUAACAAGUCGCUUUCAGCACUUGGUGAUGUGAUUAGUGCUCUAUCUUCAGAUAAUCAGCACAUUCCUUACAGGAAUCAUAAGUUGACAAUGCUGAUGAGUGACUCAUUAGGUGGAAAUGCAAAGACUCUCAUGUUCGUGAACGUCUCCCCAGCUGAGUCAAAUGUAGAUGAAAGCCAUAAUUCUCUCACGUAUGCUUCAAGAGUCCGAUCCAUUGUGAAUGAUCCAAGCAAAAAUGUUUCAUCAAAAGAAGUGGCUCGUUUAAAGAAGCUAGUUGCUUGCUGGAAAGAACAAGCGGGUAAGAGAGGUGAUCUGGAAGAGCUCGAAGAAAUACAAGAUGAACGGCCAACAAGAGAGAAGACAGAUGGCCGCCAUUCUCUAUGAGGGUAUUUGUUUGUGUCAAUGCAAAUUCAGUAUUUUCUCUUCUAGUCGAUGAUGGUUGCUUUGGUGAGCUAUUCUGCCACUUAUAUCCGUGAAUGUACAAACCCGUCGAAGUUCUUCUACCCGUAUCAUUGAUGUUGGUAUUGGAAUACUUGUUAUCAACACUUGGCUGGUGAGCCACUUCCAGAGGAACCAAAAAUAUUUGGUUGAAAAAAUUAACAUCAGAGUUGUGUAUAGUAAAAAAAAAGAAGUCGUCUGUGCUUGUAAUUGGAAACAUUGACGGCAGAGGCCUAGAGCUUUUUAUGAAGUUGCAUGAAAGAAAUAUUGUGACUGAAGAUAUACAUGACAAGAAAGACUCUUCGAACAAACUUUAGGUGUUGUUGGGUAAUGAAUGCACCGUUAGUUAUUUUUUUUGUAUGCAAACCUUGCAAAAUCAAUCUGAAGCUUUUCCUUACGGAAGUAGUUCCCAUACAGAAGGUGCCA